CAGACAGCCUCCUUCAUGUUUGCUUAAGAGUGCGGCUGGUUAACAAGAGCUCAGUGAAACCCUUUUAGGCUGCAGUAGGAAGACUCGCCAUAUAGGGUUACCAGGCAUCCCCAGGAAGGAAACAGACUCCUCCUGGGGACAUUAUUUUCACACGAGUGAGUAGGAGUGUUGAGCAACAUCAGUGUUCUACAAAACUACUCGUCCGUAGUGAACAUGUUUGUCUCGUGCAGAAUGAAGCCAAUGUUGUCAGAUUAACUUGUUUUGAAAAGACUAUUAAGCUUUGUGCAGUGAAGCAUCAGUAGCGAUGACCAAAGGUUGUGGUCCACCUUUAAACACCAUCACUGACUAGGAGCCCAUUCUUAAGAGCUGUCAUCAGGAGGUAGCUGAGAACACAAGGCAGGACAGAGACCUGGGUGAGGGUCCCAACAAUGACAUUUACUUUCUAAAAAGGCUCUCAAGAGAUUUCUGAGCCAUUCUACAUAAAUGGAGAGAUCAGAGAGACCAACAAGUUACAGGCUUUAAACAGGGGUUUCGAAGCCUAGGAGUUGCCCAAGUUGGAAAUGAAGGCCCCGUGCAGAGGAAUACUUCCUAGCUAUCUGCUCGAGAUGUUCACAUCCCAUAUCAGAGUACCUGGUUCGAGUCUCAGCUAUACUUCCAAUUCCAGCUUCCUGCUGAUGAGCACCUUGGGAGUCAGCAGGUGCCAGGCAAACGAAAACAACCCACUUCUGGAUGAAAGCCAGAUCUGUUUUCAAUUCUACUUUAAUGUAUACCUACUCAGAUAAAGCACCACUCAAUAGCUACUGACCAUGAUCUGGGCUGCAGCUCUGGUGAAACCUGGAAUUCUCAUCUUUCUAGAGAGUGGACAGUGAGAGAGAGAGACAGAGAGAAAGGUCUUCCUUUUCCAUUGGUUCACCCUCCAAUGGCCACCACUGCUGGCGCGCUGCGGCCGGCACACCACGCUGAUCUGAAGGCAGGAGCCAGGUGCUUCCUCCGGGUCUCCCAUGCAGCUGCAGGGCCCAAGAACUUGAGCCAUCCUCCACUGCACUCCUGGACCACAGCAGAGAACUGGACUGGAAGAGGAGCAACCGGGACUAGAACUGGUGCCCAUAUGGGAUGCCGGCACCGCAGGCGGAGAAUUAGCCUAUUGAGCCUCAGCGCCAGCCCAAAACUUAACUUUUUAAGCCUAUAAUUCCUAAGUACUACCCACACUUAAGCUACAAAGAAGCAUUAGAAGAAAGGAAAACAGGUGGGCAACCAUUAACAUCCAUGAAAGAACAGAUUGGUUUUGGAAAUACAGAAGUAUAUAUGUAUUGAAAAGUGUGGAGAGACAUCAUAUUUAAAUUAAAUCAGUAAGCAUACAAUGUAAUUACUGAUGAUUUUUUAGAUUUUUACCAGUAUUUUCUCUGUACAAAGAUAUUUAUUUUUUACGUUAUUGGAUUUAGUGAGAAUUCCUUUGUACAAUUAAAAAUUCUUUUUACAAUGGAUAACUCCUUACCCCACUUUUUUUUUAAUAAAAAAUUUUGAUAGUGUAUCUUCUUGAAAAGGAAAUUUCGAGAAGAAUUCUGUAAGAAUUCUUAAAUUUGGAUCAACUUGAAUAAAUUAAAACAUUUGAUUCAAGUUUUGUGGAAAGACCUUUUAUUAAAACGUCAAGAAGAAACCAUGAUUUUCACCCUUCUUGCUAAAGCAGCUGGUAUUCUACAGUCCCGGGAAGUAAAGCGCAAUCGGACUUCCGAAGUAACAUGCGGUCGAUACCACAGUGGGCCUCUGGGUGCCGCUGUCGGCCAAUCCGUUGCCAGAGCGAAAGCGAAGCGAUCCUUGGGCAACUGUGACGCAGCGGACCCCGCAUACCGGGAGACUCGGUACGUCCUCUCUCGCAAUCUCAUCUUGGGCAGAAAUUAAUGGCUCCAGGCGAGGCGCUGCACCUUCCUCCAGCUGGCUCUCGUCGUCCGGAAGCGUGGCGAGGCGCCCUGGGUUCCGAGAGGCCGGGGGAAGAGAGGCCCUGCACCUCGGGGGAGCGGAGCGGAGCAGUCGCUGUUCCCUCCUUGCUGCCGUUGUGCUGCCUGCAGAACUACGUGGCAGAAGCGCUUCCAGAUUCCGAAAGAGAACGCUGGGGAUCUAAAGGCGGAGAAUCUCGCAGAAAGCCGGAAACAGCGGGUGAGUGUGAGAAGCCUCCCACCCGAACUUGAAAAUGACAGGAUUAAUGUAGCAGGUUUGCCAAGGGAAGUCCCUAGGCCGUUUGAAUUUGAAACCACUCGAAAUCAUACGAGAAGUUUUUCGUAUACAUGUAAUCAUCCUGGAUAUAUUUAGUAGCGUGGUGACAUUUGGCACGUUUUGUUUCAGAAAUUCUGGGAAACGUCUUAAUAGGGGCAGCAUUUACUCUUAAAUCCGUAGUAGAUUUAGACGCUGGCAAUAACUACAAAUUUAUCAGGUUAGUUUAUAUAACUCUCUCCCCUCCCGAAUGUAAGGAGAGUACUAGAGCAGUAAAUACUCCUGAGUAGCUGUUGAAACCCUGCACCAGAGGAGCAGAGCGGCCGCAGCUUGGUGGUGGGAAGGGAGCCGACCAGCUCAGUGCAAGACACAGCCGUGGAUGCCAGUGCCGGUCCUUGGAUAGCCCGCCUCAUGUGUACAGCAGUCAGCCUCCCUUCCUGCAGCUCCUCUGCAUUCUUAGUGCGGUCCUUAUUGGCCCCCAUGACCUCCUUAAGGUAGAGCAGGGUUCUCUGCACUUUGCACAAGUCUCACAGGCAUACAGAAUCUAUCUGCUGUCCAGUGACUAUAGCAGUCCUUGAUUUUACCAUGGAAGAGAAGAGAGGAAGCUGUCUUAGGACCCAUUUCAGAGUCCUGGUGGAAGUGGAGAUUGAGAACUGUGGUACAGGUGACUUGCAGCAUUGUGGUUGUAAGCAUUGUGGUUGCCCCCACAAAACCACAGAACUGGAAGCCCUGCUCUGCAAAAGUAGGUGAAAAUAAUUGCGGACAGGAAGAAUCGCACUGGCAAAGAUUUCACCUCCAAGAAUUGCUAAGUAAUUCUCUUGUCAGCUACUGAGAGCUGGAAAGCUAAACGGGGAGCAGACCCUGAAAUAUGUCACCAUCAGAGACACCCGCAAGGACAGGCUGUCCCUCUGCUCCAGCACAGGCACCACUGCGAUAUCAGCUGAAUCAACAAAACCGCUCCUGUUUUCCAUCAGACCGCCUGUUUGAUCCGACGAUCAGGACACCCACCCACGCCUCUAUUGCACUUCAAUGCUUUCAGCCCUGAAAGCCUCUGAUUACUCCCUGACCAGUGACCUGGCUCCUCAGGCGCUGCCAUCUGUGUGUGGGUCAGCACAGAGUGCCCUGUGUUUGGGGAGACUGCCUUUGCGCCAACUGUGCCGCUGACCAGAACUUGAUGGGCUCAGUGUCACCCUGAGCCUGCCUGGCUUGGGCACAACCACCACAAGAAUGCGAGAAAGACCGCGUGUUGGGAGCUGCAACCUGGCGAAGACUUACUUACUUGACAUUGCACCACACACAGUGCAACCCAGCUACCUGGUCAUGCACGUGGAUGCCAACUGGGGCGUGACUGCCAGCUGCCAUUUCAUGUGUUUCAAGGCAGCUAACCUGGCUCUUCAGCCUAGAGAUGCACAUGAGCUACGUGUACACAGGGCUGCUACAGGUGAUAAAAUAUGCAGCCCUCCAGGGUUUGUGGUUGCUGUGUGAGAUGGCAAGUCCGCAUGCUUCACCUGGUCUUUGCCAACAGUUAUCAGGGUUGCUGCCAGAUCUUGCUGACAACCCUGGCACAUUCCAAAAGGCAAGCCAAGCUCUGUGGUUUUACGAGAUGAUCACCUUGGCCUUGAACUCUGUGUUCAUCUUCCUCGAAAUGACUCUGGCCGUCACGUUGUACCUGCUGCACACUCCUCUAGCUUCAUUGCUGGGAGCUGCUUUCAGCAUGGUCUCUGGUCCAAGCCUGGAUGUGGAGUGGUUCCCAGCUUAAAGAAGGAGGAUCUGAACUGUUCCUACAGUUAGCCUGGCUUCAGAUGCUAACAGUGUUUCAACUGGAUAUUCUCUGGGAAGCCAGCAAUGAAGCAUUAAAUGUUAACAUUGGAUUCAAAUGUAUUCGUGUGAGUUUUAACAUUUUUAAUUUUUAUACAUAUCAUCCUGUUAUAAAUCCUCUGGCUUUUUUGUCAGGGGAGUUUUCUUGGGUGGUUUUUGUGUAUAUUUUUAUCUCUCUCUUUAGGUCACAGUUCCUUUGGGGAAAAGCUGUGCCUAGUAAUAGAUUUUUGGAAAGGUUAUGCUUCCUGUUAAAUAGUCCCUUCCUGACAAUAGUGAAGGAAGUUAAUUGCAUCUUUAAAUUCUACCCUUGAAUUGCAUAUACUUGUAUUUGUCCUUGAGAAGCUGAAAAACUAUAGAUUUAGUUAUACAAAAACAAUUUUCUGUCCAAGAACUAUUCUUGUGGGCUUUGAUUUUUUCCUCAUUUUCUGAACCUUUCUCAGUCAUGAUCUUCGUAGGUUGGUUGACUGCCACAAUCUGGCUUAAAUUGUUCCUGAAAAUGUCAGACUCUGGAAUGCAGAUAGCACAGUUCUCUAAUUUGGGGGUAAAGAUAAAUACCUUAAACCUGGGGCAUUUUAGUUGUAACCUUUUAUUAAUAAACAUUGCAAUGAGAAAAAGAAGGAUGGUUGUGGCCUUAUCUUCCUAGUUAAAAAAUACUGCUGCUUAAGAAACCAACUUCUCAGCCAGCGCCGUGGCUUACUUGGUUAAUCCUCAGCCUGUGGCGCCAGCAUCCCAUAUGGGCACUGGGUUCUAGUCCCGGUUGCUCCUCUUCCAGUCCAGCUCUCUGUUGUGGCCCGGGAAGGCAGUGGAGGAUGGUCCAAGUGCUUGGGCCCCUGCACCCUCAUGGGAGACCAGGAAGAAGCACCUGGCCCCUGCCUUUGGAUGGGCAUAGCACCGGCAGUGGUGGCCAUUGGGGGAGGGGGUGUGUGAACCAACAGAAGGAAGACCUUUCUCUCUGUCUCUCUCUUUCACUGUCUAUAAUUCUACCUGUCAAAUAAAUAAAUAAAAAAAGAAACCAACUUCUCUCAGAAGAUAGUGUCAUUGUAUGAACACAUAUCAUCCCAACAGACUAAAAAUAAAAAAUGUGGCUUUUUCCUUUUCAGUUAUGAAGAAUUAAUAGCAUAACCUCUUUGGGCUUAAAUUUAAACUUUAAAUUAUAUAUUCAUAUGAUAUUUUUCUGAUGAAUUUCCAAGAUCCCAGUGUUAUUUCAAAAUAGAUUUGAGUGACUUUUAAAAACUUUAAAACCGCCGGUGCCGCGGCUCACUAGGCUAAUCCUCCACCUUGCGGCGCCGACACACCGGGUUCUAGUCCCGGUCAGGGCGCCGGAUUCUGUCCCGGUUGCCCCUCUUCCAGGCCAGCUCUCUCCUGUGGCCAGGGAGUGCAGUGGAGGAUGGCCCAAGUGCUUUGGCCCUGUACCCCGUGGGAGACCAGGAUAAGUACCUGGCUCCUGCCAUCGGAUCAGCGCGGUAUGCCGGCCGCAGCGCGCCAACAGUGGUGGCCAUUGGAGGGUGAACCAAUGGCAAAGGAAGACCUUUCUCUCUGUCUCUCUCUCACUGUCCACACUGCCUGUCAAAAAAAAAAAAAAAAAAAACAACUUUAAAACCCACAUAAUACAGAGACGUUUCAGAAAAGAGGAAAACCUUAAAAACUUGUUCUUCAGGUAACAUCAAGAUGUUUCUCAGUCUGAUGAAGAAAUAUCAAGAUGUUCUAAAAACAGUGCUGUGAUAGAGAAAAAGAUAAUCUGCUGAGCCUUCAAAACCAGAAAAAGAAAAGGAAAAUGUUUAAAGAAAUGAAGCCAUUUUUCACUACCAACAGCUGCUUUUUCCUCACCCUCCAGAAGAGUCUAACUGAUGGGAAGAGGGUCUUGUUUACCAGAGGAACCCUGUUUGAGCAUCAUGGAAUGAUCUAGAGGCCCCAUUGUAAGUAAGUAAGAGGCACAGCUAGAAGGAUACAACUGGUAGGUGCCCAAACAUCUCUUAGAGAUGUUAGGAGUACAACAGGUCCUCCAGUGUCCCCUGCCAAUCUGCUUAAAUUGUUUGGCUUCAAAAUGACUACACAAUCAGAACUAGAAGCCACACAAGGCUUUGGAGUAAAAACUACACAUGGCGUUGGAGCCAUGGCACCAAGGCAACUUUUUCUUCAGGCUUAAGAAUUUAUCCUGAUGACCAUUAUAGAAUCAAUGCUGAUUUUUCCAAAUGGUGAUCCUGCUACAUGAUAAAGUUUUAUAAUAAACCAUAAUACAAAACACCACCUGUAACUCACUAUUCUUUGUAUAUUAUAAAAUAUCUUUGAAAGUAUAAAUUAGGAAUUAAAAUGUUCUACAUGAUACAUGUACAAAUUCUUAAGAUGGUAGUCUUGUACAGCAAACUAUUAUGUUGGUAUAUCCUUUUCCUUAUUAGUUUGCAAAUGAUUGGAGGAAAAACUACAUUCCUUACUUUAAAAAGAAACACAUGUUCUUCAGAAUCACAAAAUUUCUGGUAAAUAAAGCACAGUGGAAGGAAAUGGGAUGGUCCGAUUUUUUGGAAAGUCUAGCUUACAUUCUAAAUGGUUUUUUUUUUCUUCCAAUUUUUUAUCCUCUACUAAAACUUGGUAAUUAGCAAGUAAUCGAGGUACUACAGAAAAAGAGCAGGUACAGAAUUGUCCUCCAUGAAGUAUUAACGAGUUCUUUGCUCCAAUUUCCUGAAGAGCAUAAAGAAAAACCAGAUAGCUUGGGGAUACUAGGAUUCUCUAGGGGACUGCAAUUUAGCAACCUCUUGACAUGGUUAAGUAAAUGCACAUAGUAGUUUUCUUUUCCAUAAAGAAAAUUAUAUAUAGCAGAAGGAUUAACUGUUUCUCUGACAAUAAUAACUUCCGGAAAGAUCAGGUAAGGAACUAUUUUUUAGGCGUGCAGUAACUGCUUAGGACUCUGGGCGCCGCUGUUCACCUAUCUGGGCGAUACCGGCAGUGACACACACGCAAUGGGA